GCAACUCCGGGCUGCCAUCUUUGAUUGUGCGACAGGCCGCGGCGCGAGCGGGGCCUCACUCAACUAGAAAUACGGUCUGGCGCGAGUUCACGGGUGGGGACAGACACGGAAACACGGGACGACCUAAACCGGUUUCCCGCAGUGACGGCCGAACACACGAGGAUAAAGCGGCGGCUCGAAGCGGCGCAGGAGCCACGAGACGGGAGCCGUGCAUGUGGAGAGCGGUUUGCUGGAAGCCGACGAGCUAAGUAGCUAACCAUCGUUUAGCCCGAACUGGGUUAGCGGGCUAGCCAGCUUUUGUAAUCCGCCGGCGAGACACACUUUUCCUCCACCGCAAACCAGGCCGACACCGGGGUUCAAGUGGGGCCGCACAGGAACCGAGAAACACAAAGGAGGCACCGGCGGUGGCAGGAGGCUGGUUCUGGAGGCAAGGCCAAAGGACCAGACUCGAUGAGUUUCCAGCGAAAUGUCAGAGAAGUCAGGGCAGAGCACCAAGGCAAAGGAUGGCAAAACAAAGUAUGCAACCCUUAGCCUCUUCAAUACCUACAAGGGCAAAUCUCUGGAAACCCAGAAGACUGCAGUGGCUGCCAGACAUGGGCUCCAGAGUCUGGGCAAAGUUGCUGCCAGUCGGCGCAUGCCCCCUCCAGCCAACCUGCCCAGCCUGAAGGCAGAGAACAAGGGAAACGACCCCAACGUCAAUAUUGUCCCCAAAGACGGUAGUGGCUGGGCAUCCCGUACCGAGGCAGAGGGAGAGAGGCAACAGGAUACGCCCCCACCGCAAAGCAAACCAGCAGUGAUCCAGCCACCGGAGCUGUCUAUCGGGAGCAGCCGAUCCUGGGCCAGCAGCAAGCAGACACAGCCUGAUGGAGCUCCUCGUGUGAGCAGCCAUUUUCACCAGGAGUUUCCCAGCUUGCAAGCGGCUGGUGAGGCAGAGAAAGAUGACAGUCAAGAGGAGGAGCCUUAUGGACCUGGCCCCAGCCUCAGACCUCAAAAUGUUGGCAGUUGGAGGGAGGGUGGCGGCAGGAAUUUGAACACUGCUCCCAGCCCCCCUGAGAUGGAGAACAGGGUUCCAGAGGAGGGAAGUACAAGCCUUGGUACCACAACACCACCCGCAGAAGCUGAUGAACCUGGCAGAAACAUAACCGCUGACAGUCAGAGGGAGAAAAGGGAUGGUAGGGAGAGGCCUCCCUCCACUGGCCCUCCACAGCCUAAACUUAAUGGGGGGCAGCAGCCUCCUGCUGGGGUGCCAACUCACUUUGAUCCUGCUUUCAGGAGCAUGAUGCCACCCUAUAUGUUCCACGCUUAUCCUCAAAUGUCUGUAAGCCCCGGGCAGGGAAACUUCAGAUACCCUGUACCACAAGAUGGAGCAAAGGGUGUCAGAGGUUCUCGUUCAGCACGACCCCAGCAGCCUCCCCCUCAGUCCUGGCUCCUGGACCCAGACAGGCCCUCAAUCAUCAGUGCUACAGAACUGAAGGAGCUGGACAACUUGGACACUGACACUGAUGAGGGCUGGGCAGGAGCUCAGAUGGAGGUGGACUACACAGAGAAACUAAACUUCAGUGAUGAUGAGGAAAACCAAGCUAAUAAAGAUAAAGGAGAAAACUGGGAUUGGAUGGGGAAAGUUGAACGUAUAAGACCUCGGCCAACAGAAGGUCAGGAGGGAUGGAAGGAGGGGUCUGAAGACCGUGGGGGCAAUAAGACCUCAAGGGCAGACAACGUAGAUCCCAGAGCACCAUCACCUGGCAGUAUGGGGCAGUACAGUAAAUCAACUGCUUCACAAGACUACCAGGGUGGGAGUCGUUCUGUUAGUGGAGCAGCUCCCCGUGGGAACAAGCCACAACCUGCAUCAGCACCUGGUGCCGAUGAGGAUUCUGACGCCUGGAGACAGAAGCGUAAGAAGCCUUCAGAGGUUUCUGAAGCUGUUGAACGAGCGAGGCGGAGGAGAGAGGAAGAGGAGCGGCGGAUGGAAGAACAGAGGCUUGCGGCCUGUGCAGAAAAACUUAAACGUCUCAAUGAAAAACACCGCCAGGCAACUGAGGGCAAAUCCUCCCCUGCUCAGUCCACCGCCGAUGAGGCAGGAGCUGCCCAUGAGAUUGCCCCCUUAUCAGCUCCCGCUCCUGUAUCCAGUCCUGUACCUUUGGUCCCAGUUUCACAAUCGCAAGCACCAAUCAUGCAAGCUCCUCUCCCAGAGCAGGUGGAUGAAGACAAAGAGAGGAUGGAGCAAGAAUGGGAGAGAGUUGAACCAAGUGCAGAGGAGGAGGUUCACUUGCCUCCUCAGCCCAGCCCUCCCGUCCAGAGACCUGUAAUCGUCGCUCCAGAACCUCAGAGCGAUGGAGAGAACUCUUUGGCUGAGGUCGCCCCCCUAAUGGAGGAAAACCAACCUGACAGGACAACAGUGCCUAUCCAAGACUAUUUCAACAUAGAGGACAACAGAGUGGAUGAGCCCCACCUGUCUCUGCCUCACAUGGACACACCAAGUGGUGAGGAUGUCCCUGUGGCACCCCCACAGCUGGAAGGAGAAGCAGCUGCUGCUAUGCGUCCAUCUCUCACCUCAGGCUAUUCCAAACAGUUUCAAAAAUCUUUGCCACCUCGUUUCCUCAGACAGCAGGAGCAGAUGAAGCAGCAACAAUGGCAACAACAGCAACAGCAGAGUGGGGGCUCAGUGUCCCCAUCAGGUGGUGGCGCUGUUCCAACUUCACAGCAACAACAGCAACACCGCUCCAUGUAUCAACCUAUGGGCCCCCACCACCAGCACCUGGCCUCCAUGGGUUUUGACCCCCGCUGGCUAAUGAUGCAGUCCUACAUGGACCCUCGCAUGAUGUCAGGGCGUCCUCCAAUGGACAUACCAACUAAUAUUCACCCUGGGCGGAUGCCUCCAAAGCAGAUUGUGCGCAGAGAGCCUGGUGACAACUCCAGCUCCAGCUCAGACUCCUUUGACCACUUGACCCGGCCAAUUCGUGACCAUGGCCUUCCCUCAGACUCACGUAUGGUAUGGGGAUCAGAUCCAUACCCACAAUCAGAGCCCUUACCUUCUGUAACUCCUCCAAAAGGACGCAAUGAUACCAAGGAGCAGAGAAUCGACUCUAGUCUGGAUCUGGAUAGAGGUCUCCCAGCUAUAUACCCCCAGGACCACAGUGCAUUGGACUCUCGUAAGAGUAACUUCUUCCGGGACCCUACAGAGUCCCUGUCAACAUUUACCCAGGGCCCAGAGGACUCAUCUGGGCCUCUAGACAGGGUCUCUGUAGCCUCAGCUUUUGAUUCUGAGGAACCAGGCCUACCGAGUGGGGAAGAAGUAGAGGCUCUUGGUCAAGCUAUGCUCCAAAGGAGCGUCUCCCAGGGCUCCAGUCACUCCCUCAAGCUUGAUGAGCCCAGGUUUGAUGGGUUACCCCUGGGAACAAAAUCACUAGACCCACAGGACACAGGUGAAAGAGCUGAAGAUAAGCCCCAAAAUGAACUCUACUCCCAGGCUUCAGUGACGAACAACAGGGCUACACCUCCUGCUGAUGGGUUACACAAACAAGAGAAGCUGCCUCUGCCAGUCCCCAGCAAGCAGAAAGCUGAGCUGCGCUGGGGCGGGAGAUCAGGUGCUGGACGCAGAGACGGACCAGGUGGGGAAAGACCAGUCCGCAGGUCUGGGCCAAUAAAGAAACCUGUCCUAAGGGACAUGAAAGAAGAGAGGGAGCAAAGAGAAGAGAGGGAGAAGCGUCACGAGAGAGGGGAAAGAGGAGAAAGAUCCAAAAAAGAUCAGUCAUCCAAAGCUCCUUCUGCAGCUGCUGUUUUGUCUGAGGGUUCCAGACCUCAGAGUGAAGGGAAGAGAGAAUCUACAGAGCUUGAGGAAACACCGGCUGGCCAUCAGAGAGUCAGAGACUCUCAGCCUUCAUCCGGGCCUCCCACUUCUUCUUCUCAGGAGGAGAAAGCAGACAAACCACCCAGCAAUGACAAACAUCCAGAACCCAAGCUGCCUUCCAGGAAAGAGUCCAAUCUUCCUCCGCGUGCCUACCGACGGGACGACAGAGAGAGAGAACGUGAGAGGGAGAGGGAUAGGGACAUGGACAAGGACAGAGACAGAGAUAGAGAAUGGCCUGCUGACUCAAGUUUCAAAGGACGUGGCAGAGGGGAGUAUUACUCUAGAGGACGCAGCUACCGAGGUACUUACGGUGGUCGAGGCAGGGGGAGUCGCGGCAGGAGUCGAGCAGAGUACCCUUACAGAGAGCCACGGUCACGCUCUGAUUUACCUUCUGUGGGAGGUGCUGCUGCCUUUCGCAAUAGGGAAGAAAGCGAAACACGCAGUGAAAGCUCAGACUUUGAGGUUAUUCCAAAACGCAGACGACGACGGGGUUCAGAUACAGAUUCUGAAAGUGAAGGUGGGAGGGAGUCUGCCAGUGAUACUGGACCCUCUGACCGUGAACCUAGCACCAAACCUAGCCGUCCACUAAGACGAGAACUGCCUGGCGAGGGCCGGUCUGGGCCCCACAAGCCAGGCUUUGGACCUCCUAACAUGGGAGAAAAGGCUGGAUUCAGAGGGGAUGAUGAAAGUAGGCCCAAGCCAGGAUUCCUUCCUAAAGGAGAACCUUCUCGACGAGGGAGAGGUGGAUUAUACAGUAGAAGAGGUGGAGCAAGGGAACGUGGUGGCCCUCGCUCUGCUCCUCUUAGACGGCCAAUGCCCAGAGAGUCCUCCUCUCAGUGGCCCUCUAAACCCAUGGAGACAUUCAGGCCUGAGGAAAUGGAGUCAGGAUCAAGAUAUGACAAUCCUCCCACUGAUCGAAGGCCACCUAAGUCUGAGGGCAAGAAAUUUGUGGACGGGCCACAGAGCAGCAGAGAAAGGCCUCGUAGAUCCCGACCAGCAAGGCCCCCCAGGCAAGAUAAACCCCCCCGCUUCAGGCGCUUGAAGGAGCGGGAGGCGGCAGUGUUGGGUAGUGGAGAAACAGCCUCAAGUCUGCCUGCCCCGUUACCCCCACUGCCUGCUAAUGCUGCCAGGUCUGCCCCAAUAUCCCUCUCCCCAACCCUGUCUAGAGCUCCAGGAACCCCUGUUACCAUGCCUGCAGAAGCGGCUGCAACAAUGUCUGCACCUGACCUGCCCUCUAGUAUUGAAGCACCCUUACCUGAGACCAGCAGCCCCACAAUCGCUGCGGUCGGUACCAAGUCCCCUGACCUGUCCAAUCAGAACUCUUCAGAUCAAGCCAAUGAGGAAUGGGAGACUGCUUCUGAAAGCAGCGACUUCAACGAAAGGAGAGAGCGAGAAGAGAGGAAAGGAGCAGCGGAGGCCAGUAAUGAAGCCACCACUGCCUCUGCUGUGGCACCUGCACUCCCUCAGGGCUCUUUAACCCCCAAUAAAAGCCCACCUGAUGGAGGGGUGACUCAAAGACGUGAUGGUGCUCCUGCAGCCAAGAGGAGUUUCUCCAGUCAGAGGCCGACGGAGAGACAGAAUCGUAGAGGCAACAGUGGAGCCAAACCAGGCCGGAGCUACGCAGGGGGCAAAGGGGAGAGAAGGGGAGGGGCCAAAGCAGGGCGCAAAGGCCCUCUAGCCCACCAGAACUCAGAGUCAGCAGCACCAACAGCUGGAGGAGCAGCCCAAAGACCUACAAAAGAGCAGUCUGCCCGUCGCAAAGAUGAGACCAAACAGGUCUCCAAGAAGCCCAAGGAGAAUGCUCUUUCUCAGUUUGAUCUCAACAAUUAUGCCAGUGUUGUGAUCAUUGAUGACCACCCAGAGGUCACAACCACAGAGGACCCACAGUCCAGCACCAAUGAUGAUGGCUUCACAGAGGUGGUCUCCCGCAAGCAACAAAAACGCCUUCAGGAUGAGGAGAAACGGAAAAAGGAAGAGCAGACAACUCAGAACUGGGGUAAAAAGGGCUCUGGUGAGAAGAGCAGAGGUGGAGGAGGAAAGCUGCCUCCAAGAUUUGCUAAAAAACAGUCAUCGCAACAACAGCAGCAGCAGCAACAACAACAGCAGCAACAACAACAACAACAGCAGCAGCAGCAACAACAUCAGCAGCAGCAACAACAACAACAACAACAACAACAACAGUCCUCACAGCCUCAGCCUGUUGCAGCCUCUACUCCCCAGGCUCAACAGCAGCCACCCAUUUCUGCCCCCCAGCAUCCUCACCUGCCCCCUACCCAACCUGCUGCAUCCCCUCAGACUCUGGAAGGAACGGUGGUUCCUCUGCCCACUAUCCCCCCUGCUGCUGUGGAUUUCACCCCAAAAACCCUUCCCCCCGCACCCACCCAGACGCACAGCACUCUAGGUACAGAACUGUGGGAGAACAAGGUUGCUGGCUCCACUGUCCUUCCUGAUGUGAAGAAGCUUGGUCCAAUCAGCCCUCCUCAGCCGCCUUCUGUGAGUGCCUGGAACAAACCUCUCACCUCCUUUACUGGCACUGUCUCCUCUGAGGGUGUGAAACCAGGAGCUGAUGGCAGUGUAGAGUUGGCAAUCGACAGCAUUCAGUUUGGAGCACCAUCAUCUGCAGGCAGCACAGACAGUGAUGGCGUUCCAGCAUUGAUGGAGACGGGCUUGGAAAACAAACUACCUGCUCCCAAAGAACAGAGACAGAAACAACCUCGAGCUGGCCCAAUCAAAACACAGAAGCUUCCUGAAAUGGAACCAGUGGAAACCAAGGAAUACAAGCCAGGUCCCAUUGGCAAAGAGCGUUCUCUUAAGAACCGCAAGGCCAAAGAUGCACGUGGAGGAGAAGGCGAGGGCAUGGAGGGAGGAGUUCCUGGAGGAGGCGUCAGCAGAGCCACAGACUCCAGUCCUCCCACCAGUGACACCGCUGUACCAGAGCUGGGAGGAGACAUUGAGGGCAUGAUCACAGUCCCCUCAGCAGACUACAUCAGUAACUCAAAGGAGUCUGUCACUGACUACACCGCCCCCUCCUCCUCACUGGCUGACAGUGUUCCCACAGGAGUCAACAAAAUAGAAGAAAGUUUGGUGGCAAAUGUGGCACUUCCCCAUUCGUUGCCACUUCCUAGGCGAGAGACCCUGCAGCAGAACUCCAGCCUCAGUACUGUCUCUCCUGCUACUGUUGACCUAACACUAAAGAUGGAAUCUGCUCGUAAAGCCUGGGAAAACUCCCCGAGUCUGGAGAAGAAUUCUCCGGCCACUUCCUCUUCAUCCCCCAUCACGUCCUGUGCAUCCUCAUACUCUUCCUUCUCCUCGGCCUCCAUGCCACAGAUCCCUGUGGCUUCUGUUACUCCCAGCACUUCACUGUCAGGAUCUGGCACCUAUACAACAUCAUCCCUCAGCACCAAGACCACCACAGCCUCUGACCCCCCAAACAUCUGCAAGGUGAAGCCCCAACAGUUGCAGGGUGGAAGUUUGUCCUCUAGCAGUAGCAGCAGUAGCAGCAGCUUCUCUCAGCUGGGCUGCGUGCCCCCCCUCCUGCAGCAGCAGACCCCACAGGUGUACGUCUCCCAGUCUGCAGCAGGUUCUGCAGCUCAGAUUCCAGCUUUCUACAUGGACACUAGUCACCUCUUCAGCACCCCCCACCCCCGCUUGGCUCCUCCCUCCCUGGCACAACAGCAGGGCUUCCAGCCUGGACUCUCACAGCCAACAGCAGUGCAGCAGAUUCCCAUCCCCAUCUAUGCUCCACUGCAAGGUCAGCCUCAGCACCAACACACACACCAACACUCACACCAGGCCCAGCUAGGACUCGGCACUGGACCUCCAGUCUCCCAGCCACAAGAUCUGUUCAGCUCCUCGCUGCAGCCUUAUAGGUCUCAGCAGGCAUUCAUGCAGAACAGCCUGUCACAGCCCUCCAUGAUGCUGUCAGGACCAUCCCUGCACAGCUACGCCAGUGUGCAAGCACCUGAGCUGGGCAAGCCUCAGUCCAACCUAGCCUAUCAGCAGCAGUCAUCCACCCAGCACAUUCCUAUUCUGUUUGAGCCGCAGCUCAACCAGCCCUCUGGCAUGGGAGGCUCCCAGCUCAUUGACACACACCUGCUGCAGGCUCGACAGGGGAUGAAUCAGCAUUCAAACAUGUAUUCAGGGCAGGUGCAACAACAUGGCCAGAGUAGCUACUACAGCAACACUCAGUCACCCAGUUCAGCAAUGCAACAGUUGUCUCUGUCAAACUUUGGCUCGGGUGGAGGACAGCCCCUCCUGGCACUGCCCCCCACGCCGCCACAGGCCCAGCCCCCUAACAUCAACCGACAGCCGCCAGUCUCCCAGCCGUACCGCAGCAUCAUGGGCCCCAACCACAACAUGAUGCCGCCACCCACCAGCAAGCUGCAGAUGGAAAUGGAUCUGAAACUCUUUGGCAGUGGGAUGGAUGUGAAGCCUGGAACUCCUCCUGUCGGUGCCAGGAGCACAACACCGACCUCCAGUCAUUACAGGGCCAGCUCCACCUCUCCUAGUAGCCAGUCCAGUAAGAUGAACAGCAUGUUGUACCAGAAGCAGUUUCAGCCCAACUCUGCUGGGAUGAGAAUGACGCAACACUUCCCUGGACAGUUCAACCCACAGAUUCUCUCUCAGCCCAACAUAGUUUCUCCUCUGGUUCGACCUCCUCAUACCAACUCAUUUGCUGGAGGUGUUCAGCGUUCUCCCAUGGGCCCUCCAAUGUCGGCGAAUGUGGGUGGUGGGCUAAUGCCUCAUCCCCGACCCCAGUAUCCACAGCACAGCCAGCAUCUUUCCCGAGGACCCUCUGGUCCCUCGAUUGUACCCAGAGGCACACAGGCGGCUCUGAAGGCUGAACAGGACCUAAAGGCAAAGCAGCGGGCUGAGGUGCUCCAGUCCACUCAUAAGUUUUUCUCAGAGCAGCAACAGCAACAGCUUAAGGCCCCACAAGUCAGCAAAGCUUCUCGACUUGAUCAAGGAGGAAAACCCUCCAUCGACACCUCUGCCCAAAACCACCAGGCAGGAGUCGAACGCCCAGAUUCUGACAAACCCCCUGUCUCUACGGCCAAGCCCAUACGGACUGGCCCCAUAAAACCGCAGGCCAUCAAACCAGAAGAGGGCAAGUAACGAGCUCCCGACCAUCUUCAGAUGACAAUACAAUGGAUGGAAGAGAGGAGGAGAGAGAAUCUAGCCCCAUUCACUCAGUCACCGCCUCAUAUCUGCCCUGGGGGACAUUUUGGGGGAGGAGGAUGAGUUGGGUAGAGAUCUAAACGGUUGGGGCAUUUGAGUUGGAUUCUUCCAUCAUAUUUAGAUGCCGACGAAAUGGCUGCACAAGUCGUUCAACAGAAAUCUACUGUGACAGUAGAUAAGAGGAGAGUUGGAGAGAGAAAAUUUGAAAUGAGAUUUGCUGCUGAGUUUGCCAUUUUUAUAGCUCUCGAUUUCUGUACCUAUUUUAUUUUCCCAAAUAGGAUCGUGCAUAUUAUAGGAGAGACCUGUUUCGUUAACGAAAGAAUGAAUCAGAGAUGUUUUUGUAGUCCAAACUUUCUUCAGUGUAUGUAGUGAAGCACACUUUUUGUUGCCCAAUCACCCAUCGUAACCAAUCCAGAGAUUCGUGCUCAUGCACACACUCCCUUAACGGUUUCACCCACAGUCACCGCACAGAGACGUGAAAUAAGAAAUUAUGUGGUUAUUAUGUUAAGUUUUUUGUUUUAUCAGAAUGGUAAUGUGAAAAUUGCAGCAUUUGAUUGACUUAAAAGAUUGAUUUAUUGAUUAGUCUGCCUGUGAGCCUUUGCUCUCCUGCCUUCUGCUCUCAUCUCCUUGCCUGAGAAUCACUGACGUGUUGGAGUGUGUGUCAGGUUCUAGUAGAAACAGGAGGGAGCUCGUAUCUGGACUCUCCUGUAUAUUUAGCCAAAGGUUAAAGCAGCGCAGAGAUGUCACAGCCUUUUGGAUUGCUGUUGCCGUGGCAGCAGGGUUUUGAGUGGACUUACAGGAUUACAUGGAUGAUGUAUGAUCACUACAUGCAGCUGUUCCAGUUUAGGGGCUACUGUCACACACCCUUUCACUGCUUUAACACCCAUCCUUGCUGUCACACACACACAAACACACACACUUCACCGUAAAGCACCCAGAUCUGCUGCUAUUGACUGAUUUCAGUGCCCCUAGCUAGAAUAUAGCAGGAUAGGGCUAUUUAGAGGUUAUAGAAGCGGCGAAGAGUUGAUUGUUAAAACAAUAGACAACUUUUCAGUGUGAGUGUGUGUGCAUGUGUCAACCCCCCACAUUUAACGGGGGGGGACAAGAACAGGACAGAGAACGAAGAAAACGAUGGGCAGAAGGACACUUUUUGUUUAUGUUGUCUUUACUGAUGAGAGCAAUCAGUGCUGUUUUCUGUCUCUGCCUCACCUCGGCUGGCUGUCCCACCGACAAUGCUCUCAUCUCGGAGUUGUGGUGACAAGGGUCCUUCAGAAAUGUACAGCCUCCCUACCCUGAGGUGGGGAGACUGUCCUCCACACCUCUACCCCAGCUGGGGGAAGAGUCCUUGCAUUGGAGGAGGGAUGAGGGAGGUUGGGUAAUGAUUUUUGUUGUUUUUUUUGUUUGGUUUUUUUUUAAUUCUUUUUUGUUUUUUUUGUUGUACUUGUACAGGGGUUUCAUCGCUGUAUUAAAAGAUGUACGGUCUUAUUUACAUUCUCUUGGUUUGGUUACAGAAACUAAUAAAAUAAUAUACUGUU